CAAGUCGCACGAGAAAGGGGAGCAAUCCCUGAGUACAGUGGCGUACGGGUGAGUAACACGUGGAUGAUCUACCUUCUAGUGGGGAAUAACCCUGGGAAACCGGGGCUAAUACCGCAUAAGCUCGAGAGAGGAAAGCAGCAAUGCGCUGGAAGAGGAGUCCGCGGCCGAUUAGCUAGUUGGCAGGGUAAGAGCCUACCAAGGCAAAGAUCGGUAGCCGGCCUGAGAGGGCACACGGCCACACUGGCACCGAAACACGGGCCAGACUCCUACGGGAGGCAGCAGUGGGGAAUCUUGCACAAUGGGGGAAACCCUGAUGCAGCGACGCCGCGUGAGCGAUGAAGCCCUUCGGGGUGUAAAGCUCUUUCGGCAGGGAAGAUAAUGACGGUACCUGCAGAAGCAGCUGCGGCUAACUACGUGCCAGCAGCCGCGGUAAUACGUAGGCAGCGAGCGUUGUUCGGAGUUACUGGGCGUAAAGGGUGUGUAGGCGGUUGUUUAAGUUUGGUGUGAAAUCUCCCGGCUCAACUGGGAGGGUGCGCCGAAUACUGAAUGACUUGGAGUGCGGGAGAGGAGAGUGGAAUUCCUGGUGUAGCGGUGAAAUGCGUAGAUAUCAGGAGGAACACCGGUGGUGUAGACGGCUCUCUGGACCGUAACUGACGCUGAGACACGAAAGCGUGGGUAGCAAACAGGAUUAGAUACCCUGGUGGUCCACGCCCUAAACGAUGCAUAUUUGGUGUGGGCAGUUCAUUCUGUCCGUGCCGGAGCUAACGCGUUAAAUAUGCCGCCUGGGGAGUACAGUCGCAAGGCUGAAACUCAAAGGAAUUGACGGGGGCCCGCACAAGCGGUGGAGCAUGUGGUUC
rnacentral:rRNA from 1 species